GAUGAACGCUAGCGGCAGGCUUAAUACAUGCAAGUCGUGGGGCAGCAGGGCUGUAGCAAUACAGUUGCUGGCGACCGGCAAACGGGUGCGUAACACGUACGCAACCUUCCCGUUACUAUGGCAUAGCCCAGGGAAACUUGGAUUAAUACCACAUAUUAUAUUGGUGAGGCAUCUCACUGAUAUCAAAGCUUCGGCGGUAACGGAUGGGCGUGCGGUUGAUUAGGUAGUUGGCGGGGUAACGGCCCACCAAGCCUACGAUCAAUAGCUGAUGUGAGAGCAUGAUCAGCCACACGGGCACUGAGACACGGGCCCGACUCCUACGGGAGGCAGCAGUAAGGAAUAUUGGGCAAUGGACGCAAGUCUGACCCAGCCAUGCCGCGUGAAGGAUUAAGGUCCUCUGGAUUGUAAACUUCUUUUCUCUGGGGCGAAAACCAGCUAAUCUUAGCUAUUUGACAGUACCAGAGGAAUAAGCACCGGCUAACUCCGUGCCAGCCGCCGCAGUAAUAC
rnacentral:rRNA from 1 species